rnacentral:snRNA from 1 species
GUGCUCGCUUCAGCAGCACAUAUACUAAAACUGGAACAUACAGAGAGGAUUAGCAUGGCCCCUGCACAAAGAUGACACAUAAAUUCGUGAAGCGGAAAAAACAAAA